rnacentral:lncRNA from 1 species
ACUGGCAGCAGUUUGAUCAGAUUGUUCAAAACCAAAGGACUUAGAAACAAGCAAGGAAGAUAAAAGCAAGGUGCAGCUCAAGACAUCACAUCUGCAUGUUAUGAAGAAUUGCAUGAAAUCUUGACCUUGCUUUCAGUACUUUUGUGCUGAAUUCAAGCAGUGUAAGUCAGGAAAACACCCAGUGAGAGGAGUAAGUACUUCAAGUAAAAGGAAAAA